CUUGGAUAUGGGAAUUUUUGAGACGGCAACGUAAGCGAAUGUGGAGACGCCGGNAUGGGCCCUGGGAGGAGUUUUCUUUUCUUGUUAACACUCUAUCACCCCGGAAUUGGUUUAUCCGGAGAGGGGGUNUUAUGGGUGGAAGAGCGUGGCCUNCUNUUUCUGUUAGCCACGUCUGGANNGCUCAUNNCGGUCCGUGAAAAUCCACAGGANCGAAGCAAUAUUCAGCAUGCCAAGUNGUACU
rnacentral:rRNA from 1 species